CAGCACCUCAAGUGGUCAGGAUGAUUAUUGGGCCUAAGCAUCCGUAGCCGGCGCUGUAAGUUUUCGGUUAAAUCUGUACGCUCAACGUACAGGCUGCCGGGAAUACUGCAGCGCUAGGGAGUGGGAGAGGUAGACGGUACUCGGUAGGAAGGGGUAAAAUCCUUUGAUCUAUUGAUGACCACCUGUGGCGAAGGCGGUCUACCAGAACACGUCCGACGGUGAGGGAUGAAAGCUGGGGGAGCAAACCGGAUUAGAUACCCGCGUAGUCC
rnacentral:rRNA from 1 species